UACGUAGGGGGCAAGCGUUGUCCGGAUUUAUUGGGCGUAAAGAGCGUGUAGGCGGCCAGGUAGGUCAGCUGUGAAAACUCGAGGCUCAACCUCGAGACGCCGGUUGAAACCAUCUGGCUAGAGUCCGGAAGAGGAGAGUGGAAUUCCUGGUGUAGCGGUGAAAUGCGCAGAUAUCAGGAAGAACACCCGUGGCGAAGGCGGCUCUCUGGGACGUGACUGACGCUGAGACGCGAAAGCGUGGGGAGCAAACAGG
rnacentral:rRNA from 1 species